rnacentral:rRNA from 1 species
GGGGAGUACGGCCGCAAGGUUAAAACUCAAAUGAAUUGACGGGGGCCCGCACAAGCGGUGGAGCAUGUGGUUUAAUUCGAUGCAACGCGAAGAACCUUACCUGGUCUUGACAUCCACAGAACUUUCCAGAGAUGGAUUGGUGCCUUCGGGAACUGUGAGACAGGUGCUGCAUGGCUGUCGUCAGCUCGUGUUGUGAAAUGUUGGGUUAAGUCCCGCAACGAGCGCAACCCUUAUCCUUUGUUGCCAGCGAUUAGGUCGGGAACUCAAAGGAGACUGCCAGUGAUAAACUGGAGGAAGGUGGGGAUGACGUCAAGUCAUCAUGGCCCUUACGACCAGGGCUACACACGUGCUACAAUGGCGCAUACAAAGAGAAGCGACCUCGCGAGAGCAAGCGGACCUCAUAAAGUGCGUCGUAGUCCGGAUUGGAGUCUGCAACUCGACUCCAUGAAGUCGGAAUCGCUAGUAAUCGUGGAUCAGAAUGCCACGGUGAAUACGUUCCCGGGCCUUGUACACACCGCCCGUCACACCAUGGGAGUGGGUUGCAAAAGAAGUAGGUAGCUUAACCUUCGGGAGGGCGUUUACCACUUUGUGAUUCAUGACUGGGGUGAAGUCGUAACAAGGUAACCGUAGGGGAACCUGCGGUUGGAUCACCUCCUUACCUUAAAGAAGC